rnacentral:tRNA from 1 species
GGAAGGGUGGUAGAGUGGUCAAAUACAACAGUUUCGAAAACUGUGCCCUUUUACAAGGGCCCGUGAGUUCAAAUCUCACCCCUUCCG